rnacentral:rRNA from 1 species
CACCAGGUUGAUUCUGCCUGACGUAGACGCUAUACUCUAAGAUUAACCCAUGCAUGUUUAUUGAAUAUAAAGAAAAGACGAACAGCUCAGUAACUCUUAUUUGAUUUGAUGUAUUAGGAUUCUAACUAUGUUAAAUUAUAGGUAACAAUAAUACAAUAAGAAUAAGAUCUAUCAGUUAGUUGUUAAGGUAAUGGCUUAACAAGACUAUGACGGAUAACGGUAUUACUUUGUAAUAUUCCGGAGAAGGAGCCUGAGAGAUUGCUACUAAGUCUAAGGAUUGCAGCAGGGGCGAAACUUGACCUAUGAUAUUAUAUUGAGGCAGUUAUGAGUAGUAUUUUAUAAUUAUUGUAGUAUUGUAAGUACAUAUUACAAGAUAAAUCGGAGGGCAAAUCGAGUGCCAGCAGCCGCGGUAAUACUUGUUCCGAUAGUGUGUAUGAUGAUUGAUGCAGUUAAAAAGUCCGUAGUUUAUUUAUAAUAAGCAUUGUAAGGUAUACUGUAUGGUUAGGAGAGAGAUGAAAUGUGAUAACCCUAACUGGAUGAACAGAAGCGAAAGCUGUAUACUUAAAUGUAUUAUUAGAACAAGGACGUAAGCUAGAGGAUCGAAGAUGAUUAGAUACCAUUGUAGUUCUAGCAGUAAACUAUGUUGAAUCAUAGAUAUAUUUUGAUAUAUAUUUAUGUAGAGAAAUUAAGAUUAUAUUGACUCUGGGGAUAGUAUGAUCGCAAGAUUGAAAAUUAAAGAAAUUGACGGAAGAAUACCACAAGGAGUGGAUUGUGCGGCUUAAUUUGACUCAACGCGGGGUAAUUUACCAGGUAUAACAUGAUAUAAUAUUUUAUCAUGAUAGUGGUGCAUGGCCGUUUUCAAUGGAUGCUGUGAAGUAAUGAUUAAUUUCAACAAGAUGUGAGACCCUCAUUUAGACAGAUGUAGUGAUACAUAUGAAGGAGAGGAUUAAAACAGGUCCGUUAUGCCCUAAGAUAAUCUGGGUUGCACGCGCAAUACAAUAAUAUUUGAUAUUAUAAGGGAUAAUAUAAUGUAAGAUAUAUUUGAACAUGGAAUUGCUAGUAAAUUUUAUUUAAUAAGUAAGAAUUGAAUGCGUCCCUGUUCUUUGUACACACCGCCCGU